GACCAAGAAAUUAAGUCAUUUUUGUAGACGGUUAAAAGGCAGUUAGGUUAUAUAUAAUUAUGUUGGUUGGUCAUUUGAUGCUAUAUGUAGAAGUAAAAUUCGAGUAUAAUUGUAUAAUUUAAUAAUGACUUAUAUGGAACUGAAUCUGCGAAAUUCUUGAGGGAAACUGGGAUUAGGUACCCCAUUAUUCUUGAAGGUAAAUUGUAUUAACUACCAGAGUACUAUGAAUGAUUAAUUUAAAACUCAAAGGACUUGGCGGUGUCUUAGACCAUUUAGGGGAACCUGUCUCAUAAUCGACAGUCCACGUUAUACCUGACCUUUUUUCGUUAUCAGUUUGUAUACCGUUGUCGUCAGGUAACUUUUUAGAAUAAAGAAGUUAGCAAUAUAAAUGGGUUAUUUAUUACGUCAAAUCAAGGUGCAGCUAAUAAAAAGGGGAGGAUGGGUUACAAUUAUUUAGUUAUAAUUACGGAAAGUGCAUGGAAAUAUGCUAUGGAAGGAGGACUUAAAAGUAAAUUUAAUUAUAUAAAUAACUUGAAUAAGGCUCUGAGACGUGG
rnacentral:rRNA from 1 species